GAUGAACGCUGGCGGCGUGCCUAAUACAUGCAAGUCGAGCGAACGGACGAGAAGCUUGCUUCUCUGAUGUUAGCGGCGGACGGGUGAUUAAUACGUGGAUAACCUAUCUAUAAGACUGGGAUAACUUCGGGAAACCGGAGAUAAUACAGGACGAGAUUUUGAACCGCAUGGUUCAAAAGUGAAAGAGGGUUUUGCUGUCACUUAUAGAUGGAUCCGGGCUGGAUUAGCUAGUUGGUAAGGUAACGGCUUACCAAGGCAACGAUGCAUAGCCGACCUGAGAGGGUGAUCGGCCACACUGGAACUGAGACACGGUCCAGACUCCUACGGGAGGCAGCAGUAGGGAAUCUUCCGCAAUGGGCGAAAGCCUGACGGAGCAACGCCGCGUGAGUGAUGAAGGUCUUCGGAUCGUAAAGCUCUGUUAUUAGGGAGGAACAUAUGUGUAAGUAACUGUGCACAUCUUGACGGUACCUAAUCAGAAAGCCACGGCUAACUACGUG
rnacentral:rRNA from 1 species